AGACCCGAAACCCGGUGAUCUAGCCAUGGGCAGGUUGAAGGUUGGGUAACACUAACUGGAGGACCGAACCGACUAAUGUUGAAAAAUUAGCGGAUGACCUGUGGCUGGGGGUGAAAGGCCAAUCAAACCGGGAGAUAGCUGGUUCUCCCCGAAAGCUAUUUAGGUAGCGCCUCGUGAAUUCAUCUCCGGGGGUAGAGCACUGUUUCGGCUAGGGGGCCAUCCCGGCUUACCAACCCGAUGCAAACUGCGAAUACCGGAGAAUGUUAUCACGGGAGACACACGGCGGGUGCUAACGUCCGUCGUGAAGAGGGAAACAACCCAGACCGCCAGCUAAGGUCCCAAAGUCAUGGUUAAGUGGGAAACGAUGUGGGAAGGCCCAGACAGCCAGGAUGUUGGCUUAGAAGCAGCCAUCAUUUAAAGAAAGCGUAAUAGCUCACUGGUCGAGUCGGCCUGCGCGGAAGAUGUAACGGGGCUAAACCAUGCACCGAAGCUGCGGCAGCGAACGUAUCACCCAAGACAACUUUACGGAGUUGACGAUUGACGGAGCGAAGCGACGUCAAAGCGUUCAUUAAAGUCGAGUUGGCUUAGGGAUACGUUCGUUGGGUAGGGGAGCGUUCUGUAAGCCUGUGAAGGUGUGUCGUGAGGCAUGCUGGAGGUAUCAGAAGUGCGAAUGCUGACAUAAGUAACGAUAAAGCGGGUGAAAAGCCCGCUCGCCGGAAGACCAAGGGUUCCUGUCCAACGUUAAUCGG
rnacentral:rRNA from 3 species